rnacentral:rRNA from 1 species
CAGACCUCUAAUCGGAAAAGACCACCCGCUGAGUUUAAGCAUAUCACUAAGCGGAGGAGAAGAAACUAACCAGGA